GCCGAAGUGCUGGAACUGGUAGACAGGCUGGACUUAGAAUCCAGUGUCCUUUAUCGGACGUGGGGGUUCGAGUCCCCCCUUCGGCACCA
rnacentral:tRNA from 3 species